CUUUACCCUGGCCAGCAGCUACCCUACAUCUGUGCUUAAACACGGCUCUACAGCCCCGCCAGGAGCAGCCGGGUCCCCGCUGCCCGCGGUCCCCUCAGGGCGGCGCGGCCCCUCAGGUAACGGCUGCACCUCACGCGGGUGGACAAGGCCGCCCCCUAGCGCGCCAGGCCGGCACCGCACAGCGAGCACCCUCGCCGCACGCCCGGGAGGUGAGCCCGCCGCCGCUUCCCACAGCACCGGCAGCUUCCACCCGCCGGGGCGGGCUCCGCCAGGGCCGCUUCCCCUCACAGCUGGCGCCGCGGAGAGAACAAGCACCUGCCCGGCCACCAAGAGGGGUUCCCCUCAAAAGGCUUAUCUCAGGGGCUGGGUGGGUGCUGCUCUCAUCCUCAGACAGGCAGUUGGAGGCAGUCUGCUAUGUAGAUUUGAAGAGGAGGAGCAAUCACCACACCACUAAGGUUUUUAAAUCCUUCUUAUUUACAGUCUAGAACAACUAAAUCCUUUGUAUUUAUUUUUUUAAUGAGAAGCAUACAUUGCAGAUUGUCAGUGGUGUAUGAGAUUUCAAAAGAAGGUGCAGCUGUUCCAAACCUUUAAUAUUAAUGUUGCUUUCUUUCC